rnacentral:lncRNA from 1 species
UGUGUUUGUAUGCGUGAGUGCGUGCACACACCUGUUUGUGUGUAUGUGUGUGUAUCAUUGUGUGUGUGCGUGCGUGUGCAUUCUUGUCAGCGUAUGCUUGCGUGUGUGAUUGUAUGUGUUGGUGUGGUACAGCUGUGGCCCCUCUAUCCAGCUUUAGCUCCGUUGGGAUCGGGGGGUUAAGACAACAGAGCAACAGAGGCUCCCCCUCUCCCCUCCUCUCCCGUACCCCUGGUCCCUAGCUUCUUUAAAUGGGCCAGUUUGACCCAGCCCAGACACACGUGAAGGUGCACGGUGCUACUGUGAUUAAUUACAGGGUUACAGCCAUGCUGACAUCAUCAUAGUGCACCGGGCUUGGGCUCUCAACCCACUGAAGGGCAGACACAUAUAGACAAACACACACACCUUGCUUCUUAUGUUAUGAAAGGGGAGGUCAGCUGUGAAUAUAACCACCAAACAAGUCCGGGGUUGAUUUUCAAUUCCACUUCAAGGUCUAUAGGUUAUCAUUCCUAACUCGUAGGUGCAGGUGAAGUGCUCAAGAACAAUUCGACCACAUCAGACUAAAAGUUUGCUGAAUUGAAUCUAAGCUCCAGUGGCCAGACAUUGGUGGCCAUGGCCUUCUAUCCCCCUGUUUCCUCUUUCCUCUCGCCUCCUUUUGAAACAGGUCCAAGCUAAUCGAGGAGAGUCGGCGAGGAGAGUGAACGUGGAUGGAGAUGCGCUUGCUUGAAAUGAGACCUUCCUCCUCCACUCGUGCGUCGUUAGGAUACACAUGGGUAUCCUCGAUGAAAGGUGGCUAUCGAGGAGGUCUUCCGUUUGCCUAUUUAAAUGAAUUGACACACUCCUCAACCACUCUACCAUUUAUCGGUUUCCGGGUCACGGAGAAGAGAGGACGAAGGACGGUGUUUUGCCCGAGCGAGAAUCUCCCGAUGUCUAACACUGGGUGUAAUUACAUGAAAUGUAUGUCAUGUACAUGUGCCUGUGUGCUCAGUGGUCAAUAAACAAAAGAAGCGUGUA